AAACACUUGGACUUGAACCGAUUAAAUUCUAAAGGUCCGAGGGAGGAGGAGGCCAUUGAUUACAGGGAGGAUGAACAUAUAUUUUCAAUGACAAAAAUGAUGCAUAAUUAUUUAGUAGAUUAAUCCUGCGAGCUGGAAUACUGCAAGCCUGCAAGUGAACCACAUAUUGUGCUUGCUGCAUCUUGGUUUUAUAUCAACAUGGGUCACCCGCAUAAUAUAUCUUGUGAGCUGGAAUACUACACUAAGCUGAGGUGGAUGUGUUUUUUGUUUUUUCUUCACCUUAUGUUCUUAACAAAGCUUACCCUUAUCCUAUGUGAAAUCCCUCCUCUCCUAGGGUGAAGAAAUUCACCUCCAUGUCGUUUCAACCUCGAUGUUACUCGCAUUUUUAAUUUUCAAAUGCAGUAUCCUGAUAUUAUAGUCGACAUCUGGUAAAAUGUGCAUUAGCAAC
rnacentral:lncRNA from 1 species